GGUGGGUCAUUAUGUAGUAAAUCCGCAAGUGCACGGUUUACCGAUGUAGUAAUUCAAUUAUCUUUCAACAAUGAUUAGAAAAGAGUUUAAGUUGAAAAGUUUGGAUUUUUUAACAGUUGAAAAUAAUAAUAAAAAAGCGCAUUGGGAUUAUUGGUUCAUCUAGAUGACAAACCCUUCAUAAACCAAACCCUAAACCUAGAACUUUAUGUUGGACCCACUUUUUAAAGAUAAGUUUCUCUUAAGCCUAUCACAUCUCCUUUCGGUU
rnacentral:lncRNA from 1 species